UGUGACUGCGUACCUUUUGUAUAAUGGGUCAGCGACUUAUAUUCUGUAGCAAGGUUAACCGUAUAGGGGAGCCGGAGGGAAACCGAGUCUUAACCGGGCGUUAAGUUGCAGGGUAUAGACCCGAAACCCGGUGAUCUAGCCAUGGGCAGGUUGAAGGUUGGGUAACACUAACUGGAGGACCGAACCGACUAAUGUUGAAAAAUUAGCGGAUGACCUGUGGCUGGGGGUGAAAGGCCAAUCAAACCGGGAGAUAGCUGGUUCUCCCCGAAAGCUAUUUAGGUAGCGCCUCGUGAAUUCAUCUCCGGGGGUAGAGCACUGUUUCGGCUAGGGGGCCAUCCCGGCUUACCAACCCGAUGCAAACUGCGAAUACCGGAGAAUGUUAUCACGGGAGACACACGGCGGGUGCUAACGUCCGUCGUGAAGAGGGAAACAACCCAGACCGCCAGCUAAGGUCCCAAAGUCAUGGUUAAGUGGGAAACGAUGUGGGAAGGCCCAGACAGCCAGGAUGUUGGCUUAGAAGCAGCCAUCAUUUAAAGAAAGCGUAAUAGCUCACUGGUCGAGUCGGCCUGCGCGGAAGAUGUAACGGGGCUAAACCAUGCACCGAAGCUGCGGCAGCGACGCUGAUGCGUUGUUGGGUAGGGGAGCGUUCUGUAAGCCUGCGAAGGUGGCCUGUGAGGGUUGCUGGAGGUAUCAGAAGUGCGAAUGCUGACAUAAGUAACGAUAAAGCGGGUGAAAAGCCCGCUCGCCGGAAGACCAAGGGUUCCUGUCCAACGUUAAUCGGGGCAGGGUGAGUCGACCCCUAAGGCGAGGCCGAAAGGCGUAGUCGAUGGGAAACGGGUUAAUAUUCCCGUACUUGGUGUUACUGCGAAGGGGGGACGGAGAAGGCUAUGUUGGCCGGGCGACGGUUGUCCCGGUUUAAGCGUGUAGGUGUGUGUUCCAGGUAAAUCCGGUUCACUUUAACACUGAGGCGUGAUGACGAGGCACUACGGUGCUGAAGCAACAAAUGCCCUGCUUCCAGGAAAAGCCUCUAAGCAUCAGGUAACAUCAAAUCGUACCCCAAACCGACACAGGUGGUCAGGUAGAGAAUACCAAGGCGCUUGAGAGAACUCGGGUGAAGGAACUAGGCAAAAUGGUGCCGUAACUUCGGGAG
rnacentral:rRNA from 1 species